CCAAAAACGAGGAAAAGGAAAAGUACGGUUCACGAAUUUUCACAGAGAGCUUCGGUUGCUGAAAAGAAGCAAAAGGACGAACCGGAAAAAUGGCCUUGGAGUUCCGUGCUGAAAGCUUAACCGUAAGUAGGUUCCGGCGGGAAGAGCGCCCGUUAAAGCGCCGCAGUAUAAGGAGAUUGCAGGCUCCCGUACUGGCUAAGGCUGUUUAUGUGAGUAAACAGUGAACGAAGGUGGUACCGCGUGAAUUCAAACCACGCCCUUAUC
rnacentral:ncRNA from 1 species